rnacentral:lncRNA from 1 species
AGGUCAUAUGGGGUCGCCAGCCCAAUAGGGGACAUCAGCCCUAUAGGGGUCAGAGGCCAUAUGGGGUCAUCGGCCCUAUUGGGGUCACAGGGCAUGUGGGGUCACAGGUCAUAUGGGGGUCAGAGGUCAUAUGGGGGUCAGCUGUCAUAUGGGGUCACAGGGCAUGUGGGAUCAUGGGGCAUGUGGGGUCAGAGGGCAUGUGGGGUCACGGGGCACUUGGGGUUAUGGGGCAUGUGGGGUCACAGGGCAUGUGGGGUCAUCGGGCGUAUGGGGUCCCUACGGUGCCCCUGUCCUUAUGGUGUCCCUGUCCCUACGGUGCCCCUGUCCCUAUAAGGGUCCCUAUGGUGUCCCUAUGGUGUCCCUAUGGUGCCCCUGUCCCUAUGGUGUCCCUAUGGUGUCCCUCUGGUGUCCCUGUCCCUAUGGUGCCCCUGUCCCUAUAAGGGUCCCUCUGGUGUCCCUAUGAUGUCCCUGUUCCUCUGGUCCCCCUGUCCCUAUGAUGCCCCGUCCCUGUGGGGUCCCCGUCCCUCUGGGUCCCCCUGGUGUCCCUCCGGCUCCCCCGUCCCUGUGGUCCCCGGCCGCCCCCAACCCCCGCCGUCCCGCAGCGCUCGUCGCGGCGCUCGCUGUUCGUGGCGGCGGCGGCGCGGCACCAGCAGUUGUACCGCCUGGCCAUGACGGGCGCCGGCAUCGACCGCCACCUCUUCUGCCUCUACGUGGCGUCGCGGUACCUCGGCGUGCGGUCCGCCUUCCUCGAUCACGUGAGCGGCGGGGGGGGCGGGGGGGCGAUGGGGGGUGAUGGGGGUGGGGGGGGAUGG